CCCACCUCAGCCUCCCAAAGUGCUGGGAUUACAGGCGUGAGCCACUGCGGCCGGCCAGAAUUUAACUUUUAUAUGUAUCAGUAUUGUGAAUAUGUA
rnacentral:miRNA from 1 species